UCCUCGGCGUGGCCGACGGCCGCGACGUCCACCUCGUGCGUGGUCCGAGCGGCCGGAUCGUUGACGGUUCCGGCGGUC
rnacentral:tRNA from 2 species